rnacentral:lncRNA from 1 species
AUUACAUAGAAUUAUAUAUAAAAUAAUUUAGGUUGAAAAAGACCUCUGAGACCACUGAACCCAGAUCAGCAUUGUCAAAUCCACCACCAAACCUGUCCCCAAGUGCCACAACCAUGUCUUCCAAAUACCUCCAGGGGUGGUGACUCAACAGCUUCUCUGGGUAGCCUAUGACAAUAUUUGGUAAUACCAGUUACUAUGAUGAAAUUUAACUCCACCCCAGCCAAAACCAGCACAUAAGUAAAGGCUGUACCUGUAUGAAAAUUGCAUUAAAAAAUUCAUUUUCUUAUCAUCUUCUUUUCAGCUCUGUUACUCUACUGCCUGUGUGAAUCUGCCAAGAAUGUUGAUUUACACCUAUGGUGGUAUCGAAGGACCAUCUUGGAGGUUACCCUGUUGGGACUGCCAAGGUGUUGCUGUUUGGAGGAAUGCUGCUGUCAUGAACAAGUGCAGAGAUGAAG